rnacentral:rRNA from 1 species
UACGAAGGGGGCUAGCGUUGCUCGGAAUCACUGGGCGUAAAGGGUGCGUAGGCGGGUUUUUAAGUCAGGGGUGAAAUCCUGGAGCUCAACUCCAGAACUGCCUUUGAUACUGAAGAUCUUGAGUUCGGGAGAGGUGAGUGGAACUGCGAGUGUAGAGGUGAAAUUCGUAGAUAUUCGCAAGAACACCAGUGGCGAAGGCGGCUCACUGGCCCGAUACUGACGCUGAGGAGCGAAAGCGUGGGGAGCGAACAGG